rnacentral:rRNA from 1 species
AUAUUGGUCAAUAGCCUAACGGCUGAACCAGCAACUUGGAGGAAUGUAUGGCAAUAGCUGGUUGCAUUAACAAAAAGUUAGUGUAAGAUCGACUCUGUCGAAUAAAAUUCUAGAUAGAAUUAUGAUAAUGACAUUAUCUAUCUAUGUGUCUUGACCAAAUUACGUGCCAGCAGUCGCGGUAAUACGUAAAAGACUAGUGUUAUUCAUCUUUAAUAGGUUUAAAGGGUACUUAGACGGUAAAUCAAGCCCGAAGAGGGAACUAAUAUACUAGAGUUUGAUGUAAGGAAGCAUGAAAGUACUGUUGGUGUAGAGAUAAAAUUCUAUCAUACCAAAUAUGGCACAGGUUUAGGCGAAAGCAUCUUCUUAUGUAAUAACUGACGUUGAAGGACGAAGGCUUUGUGUCUCGAACAGGAUUAGAUACCCCAGUAGUCUAAGCAGACAAUGAUGAAUGUCAUAGAUUAGAUUUAAUUUUUUCUAUAAAUGAAAGUGUAAGCAUUCCACCUCAAGAGUAAUUUGGCAACAUUGGAACUGAAAUCAUUAGACCGUUUCUGAAACCAGUAGUGAAGUAUGUUGUUUAAUUAGAUGGUACGCAAAAAACCUUACCACAAUUUGAAUUAGUAAUAUGUUUUCACAAGCGCUGCACGGCUGUCUACAGUUAAUGUCGUGAGAUUUUGGUUAGUUCCAUAAAAUUAACGCAAACCCUUACUUUAUUUUUAAUAUAAAGUAGUUCACCGCCAUAUUGGAUAUGAUAAAAGGGAACAAGACAAGUCAUCAUGGCCUUAAUAUUGUGGGCU